rnacentral:rRNA from 1 species
GAAUAGAUACCCUGGUAGUCCAUGCCGUAAACGUUGGGAACUAGGUGUGGGUCUCAUUCCACGAGAUCCGUGCCGCAGCUAACGCAUUAAGUUCCCCGCCUGGGGAGUACGGCCGCAAGGCUGAAACUCAAAGGAAUUGACGGGGGCCCGCACAAGCGGCGGAGCAUGCGGAUUAAUUCGAUGCAACGCGAAGAACCUUACCAAGGCUUGACAUACACCGGAAUCACUCAGAGAUGGGUGCGUCUUCGGACUGGUGUACAGGUGGUGCAUGGUUGUCGUCAGCUCGUGUCGUGAGAUGUUGGGUUAAGUUCCGCAACGAGCGCAACCCUCGUUCUAUGUUGCCAGCACGUGAUGGUGGGGAUUCAUAGGAGACUGCCGGGGUCAACUCGGAGGAAGUGGGGAUGACGUCAAAUCAUCAUGCCCCUUAUGUCUUGGGCUUCACGCAUGCUACAAUGGCCGGUACAAAGGGCUGCGAAACCGNGACGGUGGAGCGAAUCCCAAAAACCGGGUCUCAGUUCGAUUGGGGU